UGGGGAAUAUUGGACAAUGGGGGAAACCCUGAUCCAGCGACGCCGCGUGUGUGAAGAAGGCCUGCGGGUUGUAAAGCACUUUUAGUGGGGAUGAAAAGCUCAGGGCUAACACCUCUGGGUCUUGACCUAACCCACAGAAAAAGCACCGGCUAACUCUGUGCCAGCAGCCGCGGUAAUACAGAGGGUGCGAGCGUUAAUCGGAAUUACUGGGCGUAAAGCGUGCGUAGACGGUUAUGUAGGUCGGGUGUGAAAGCCCCGGGCUCAACCUGGGAAUGCCAUUCGAGACUGCAUAGCUAGGGUGCGGAAGAGGGAAGCGGAAUUUCCGGUGUAGCGGUGAAAUGCGUAGAUAUCGGAAGGAACACCAGUGGCGAAAGCGGCUUCCUGGUCCAGCACCGACGUUCAGGCACGAAAGCGUGGGGAGCAAAC
rnacentral:rRNA from 1 species